rnacentral:rRNA from 1 species
GACGAACGCUGGCGGCGUGCUUAACACAUGCAAGUCGAACGGACAGGCCCUGCUUUUGCGGGGUGCUCGAGUGGCGCACGGGUGAGUAACACGUGUGUAUCCUGCCCUUGACUUUGGGAUAACUUCACGAAACUGGGGCUCAUACCGGAUAGGAGCUCCUGCUGCAUGGUGGGCGAUGGUAAGUUUCGGCGGUUGGGGCUGGUCUGGCGGCUUAUCGGCUUGUUAGUGGGGUAGGGGCUUACCAAGUGUUUGACGGGUAGCCGGCCUGGGAGGGGAGACAGGCACAAUGGGACUGAGAGACGGAGCAGAAGCCAACGGGAGGCAGCAGUCGAGAGUAUUGCACAAUGAGCGGAAGCCUGAGACAGCGACGCCGCGUGCGGGAUGACGGCCUACGGGUUAUAAACCGCUGUCGCCUGUGACAAAGCGGGAGUGACGGUAAUGGGUAAGGAAGCACCGGCUAACUACGUG